rnacentral:rRNA from 1 species
UGACCUCAAAUCAGGUAGGACUACCCGCUGAACUUAAGCAUAUCAUAACCGCGGAGAGAGAAAA